ACAGGCCAGUCGGUAAGAGUCCACAAAGCUCUGGAACCAGCACCAGCCUGAGGAGCACAUGGGAACACCCGGCCUCUGAGGCCCAGCCCAGGAUCGUUCUAAGGCUCAGUGACAGAUUUGCCUGGAAGAGUUUAUCUAUUUUAUUGAUCUUUUCAAAGAAUCAGAUUUCUGGUAUUAAGAACAGAGUGGCUGGUUUACUGAAACAAGAUGAAGAGAGAUUUGGGAAGAAAAUCAAGAGUUCGAUUUGGAUUUUAAAAUUUAAGUACCUUUGAGACAUCCAGGUGGAGAUGUCAAGAGGACAUUUGGAAAUACUGGAGUAGAAGUCAAGGGAGAGAUCCUGAGUGAAGGUCACACACACUGAGAGUGUGGAUGGCGCGCCAGGGGCAGGGGUUCCAAGAAGACCUAGGACUUAGUCCUGAGAAACACUGACUGCUAAAGGUUAGACGAAAGAUGAGAAGCUGGCCAUAAAUAAAGACUAAAACGGGGGCUGGUCCCGGGGCUGAGUGGUUAAGUUUGCUCCACUUUCAGUGGCCCAGGUUUCGCCAGUUCGGAUUCUGGGCGUGGACAUGGCACCACUCGUCAGGCCAUGUUGAGGCAACGUCCCACAUGCCACAACUAGAAGGACCGGCAAAUAAGAUAUACAACUAUGUACUGGGGGGAUUUGGGGAGAAAAAGCAGAAAGAAAAAAAAAAAAGAUUGGCAACAGUUGUCAGCUC
rnacentral:lncRNA from 1 species